AGACGCUCAACUGUAAUAACUGUCAGAUCACAAACUCAAUUUUCCCAAUCCGCAGGAGCCAAGGAUUUUCCUUGCAAGAUUGGUCGGGUCGGAUCCGGAUCAGAUCCGUAUGUCUAAGGAUCUGAGUAUGGAGAUACUGCAAGAAUCUGGGUGGGAAGAACUACGCAAAGAGGCUCGCAAGAUCGAAGGUGAUCUUGAUGUUAAGCUCUCUUCUUAUGCAAAGCUUGGUGCUAGGGUCACACAAGGAGGUUAUGUAGAAGCUGGUUCCCCAACUUUAGGAUCCAGCAGGUCGUGGAAGUCCACGGAAAUGGAGAUUCAAUCAUUACUUGAGAAGCUACUGGAUGUAAAUGAUUCUAUGAGUAGAUGUGCGGCAUCUGCAGCAUCUACCACUUCUGUUACUCAGAAACUCGCAAGGCACAGGGACAUACUUCAUGAAUUUACCCAGGAAUUUAGGCGUAUUAAGGGAAAUAUAAGCUCAAUGAGGGAACAUGCUGAACUUCUUAGUUCUGUGAGAGAUGAUAUCAGUGAGUAUAAGGCAUCAGGAAGUAUGUCGCCCAAAAUGCAUAUAUUGAGGGAGAGAGCUGCUAUACAUGGAAGCAUAUCUCAUAUUGAUGAUGUGAUUAACCAAGCUCAAACAACUAGGGCUGCCUUGGGUUCACAAAGAGCUUUAUUUGGUGAUGUUCAAGGAAAAGUGAAACAACUGGGCGACAAGUUUCCUGUCAUCCGUGGGCUAAUUGGCUCAAUAAGAAGGAAGAAAUCAAGGGAUACACUCAUUCUAUCAGCAGUCAUUGCAGCUUGCACUUUGUUUCUUAUAAUCUAUUGGCUCUCGAAGUAAUAGGUAUAUCUGUUGAUACAAGAAAAUUCAGAAGAUCAUGAUUUUGAAGGAAUUUUGCGCUUCUACUCACUGCCAUUUCCCCGAUAAGUGAAAAUCUUGAGUUCAUUACUAUAUAGCUUUUCUGUUUACUUCUGACUUCCUUUUAAGAAAUAUUACUCAGUGUUCCGUGGAAUAUUCCACCGGAGAGAACAAAUAUGAGUUAUAGCUUUACAUAGCUUGCUGCCUCUGUACCAAAAGACAUUAAGAAACAUCCACCAAGUGAGUAGGAUAGAAGAUUAGAAGGCUUGAUGCUCUACCAAGAUUAUGAUACAAAUCCUGCUUACCUUUGUAGCAAAUCAUUAUAUUAGCUGAAGCAAGAAUAAUACCAAUCCAGAUACUGGGUGUUGUAUAGAACUAUUCGUCUUAGGUUUGUUUCAGUUAUGGUUGAGGUUAAAUAACUUUAUUACAG
rnacentral:misc_RNA from 1 species